GCCUCGGCGGCGGCGCCCUCCCGUGAUACGCCUCCCUCGUACGGAUACGUAUUUCGCCGCGUACUCCGCCACAAAUACCGUAUACCGUAUCCUGGUCUGGCUAGCCGUUAAUUAAUCAUGCCAGGACCAAAUUAGGCCUACUUAAUUACGAGAUCAAGAGGUGGAUUACCAUUAGUUAGUAGCAGAGAGCAAGAUUUGCAAGUGUAAGAAGUAGAAAUUAACUAAUCCAGUGCAGUGAUGCUUCUGGAAUGGAAUCUGCAGGGAAAUGGCAUGCAAGAAGCAUGCGUUUCUUUUUCCUUUUUUAAAUUUUGCCCCCCAAAUGUAUGGAGAUUUACCUUUGUUUAUUAAAGCCUAAUUAAUUUAAUUUAGCUGGUGCAACAGACGAGGUGGCAGCGGCAUUGGAAAUACGUGCGGAAUAU
rnacentral:lncRNA from 1 species